AGUUACAAAUAAAUGCUAAUGAAUAGUGCCUUAAGUUAUGUUAUUUAAAUUAAAGUGUACAAUUUAGAUUUUCUUAAAAGUGAAAAAAAAUUGUUUGAUGAUGUCGGCGUUCAAUCCGAGUGCUGCGUCAAGGGUGUUGGAAAUGUUGUUGAGUAAAUCUGUGUACUGGAGGUUUUUGUAAAGAUAUGAUUGACUGUUAUUUAUUGUAUAUCGUUAUACAUUACAUCCUAGUUUGUGGUCUUUAAUCAACUGCUUAUAAAACGUAGAAGCCGAACGAGAUGUAUUUUAUAGUCAAAUUGAAGCAGGGUAACAGCUCCUCCCAAAAAGUUAAAAUUAAAGACAUUUAUUGAUCCGGAUGAACAAAUUUAAAAAAUAUAGUUCAAAGUUGUAA